rnacentral:rRNA from 1 species
GCACAAGCGGUGGAGCAUGUGGUUUAAUUCGAUGCAACGCGAAGAACCUUACCUACUCUUGACAUCCAGAGAAUUUGCUAGAGAUAGCUUAGUGCCUUCGGGAACUCUGAGACAGGUGCUGCAUGGCUGUCGUCAGCUCGUGUUGUGAAAUGUUGGGUUAAGUCCCGCAACGAGCGCAACCCUUAUCCUUUGUUGCCAGCGAGUAAUGUCGGGAACUCAAAGGAGACUGCCGGUGAUAAACCGGAGGAAGGUGGGGAUGACGUCAAGUCAUCAUGGCCCUUACGAGUAGGGCUACACACGUGCUACAAUGGUUGGUACAACGAGUUGCGAGUCGGUGACGGCGAGCUAAUCUCUUAAAGCCAAUCUCAGUUCGGAUUGUAGGCUGCAACUCGCCUACAUGAAGUCGGAAUCGCUAGUAAUCGCGGAUCAGCACGCCGCGGUGAAUACGUUCCCGGGCCUU